rnacentral:misc_RNA from 1 species
AAGACUAUAGACCUGCGGAGUACCUGCGGAAGGAUCAUUAACAAAUUUGUUGAGUAUGUACAAUUGUGAACAGGCCAGAGUUUGUAUCUGAAGAAGCAUUUGUGUUGCUGAAUAAGCAAUUAUUUGUGUAGCAGAUAAGCAAUUAUUUGUGUAGCUAAAUAAGCAAUUAUUUGUGUAGCUGAAUAUUUGUGUAGCUGAAUAAGCAAAUUCACUACAAAACUUUGGCAGCUUUAUCAUUUU